UCUAAAAUGGCAGACAUUAAUGCCAUGGGGUUAAGAUCCAUUUACGAGGAUCUCCUCUUUUAGAA
rnacentral:tRNA from 1 species